rnacentral:rRNA from 1 species
AAUUUUGGACAAUGGGGGAAACCCUGAUCCAGCCAUCCCGCGUGUAUGAUGAAGGACUUCGGGUUGUAAAGUACUUUUGGCGGAGAAGAAAAGAUAUCCGCUAAUACGGGAUACUGCUGACGGUAUCUGCAGAAUAAGCACCGGCUAACUAUGUGACAGCAGGCGCGGUAAUACGUAGGGUGCAAGCGUUAAUCGGAAUUCCUGAGCGUAAAGCGGGUGGAGGCGGUACGGAAAGAAAGAUGUGAAAUCCCAGGGCUCAACCUUGGAACUGCAUUUUUAACUGCCGAGCUAGAGUAUGUCAGAGGGGGGUAGAAUUCCACGUGUAGCAGUGAAAUGCGUAGAUAUGUGGAGGAAUACCGAUGGCGAAGGCAGCCCCCUGGGAUAAUACUGACGCUCAGACACGAAAGCGUGGGGAGCAAACAGG